GCAGGUUAAAAGAGAGAGAUUCUCCUAAGUGUCAAUCCGGUCCUGCUGGCUCAGGAGAACAAAGCUGGGCUGGCAAAGUGAAUCAGAUAGCGUCCUGUGCACGCCCAAGCUUCAGAAUAAAGCCGCUUUGUUCUCAAUGAAGAAGGAGAGCAUUUGAACAG
rnacentral:lncRNA from 1 species